UACAUAGCAGCCCUUUGUGAGCCUCUACCUAGCAUCUGACUGAGACAGAAAUGGACAAAGUUGUAGAAGAGUUGGCUAUCAAUUUACUUUGUGGGACUGGGACAGAUCCAAGAAAAAUAAAACCACACAACAAAUAA